UACAGAGGUCCCAAGCGUUGUCCGGAUUGACUGGGCGUAAAGCGCACGCAGGCGGACGCGCGCGUGGGGUGUGAAAUCUGGCCGCUUAACGGCCAGGCGCCAUCCCAUACGGCGCGUCUGGAGCAAUGCAGAGGUCGGUGGAAUUGCCGGUGUAGUGGUGAAAUGCGUAGAGAUCGGCAGGAACACCCAGGGGGAAACCAGCCGACUGGGCAUUUGCUGACGCUGAGGUGCGAGAGCGUGGGGAGCGAACCGG
rnacentral:rRNA from 1 species